CGCGCGACUUCCGGUCGGCCGCCAUUACUCUGGCAAGAACACCCCAGCAAGAACAAUAAUAAAAUGUAUUGUGAAAUUGACAUCGCCGCUACUAAAUCCUAAUUUUUUCCGCUCUCGGGGAUUUGAAUGGAAAGAAUCGAUCAGAAUUAUAAAAAGGGAAGGUAAGAAAACAAUUUUGAUGUUUUUAUUUGCCAAGAAAACAUUUCUUUGACUUGAAAUACUUUAUUUCUAUUAUUUGGCCAGAUGGGCUCCGAAGAGUGCAGAGAAUUUAUAUAACAUGAUUCGAUGAUAAAAUAUAUACCCAAAGUGUUCACAGUUUUGUUUCAAAAUUAUUCUCUAUUGUUUCCGUCUUAGCUUAGAUUAUUGAAAUGGAAAACUGGUUACUGGACAAUAGUUUUAUCACUUUUAUGGCUCUAAAAUGCGAGUCAUGAACUAUAUAUAUAUAUAUUGUCUAUAUUUAGUUUGCAUGUCAAAUUUAUACUAGUAUGCCCUCAGAUACAUGCUCUACGUUUUAAUUUGAAAGCAUUCCUGUUUUUCAUAAACCAUAACCAGUUCUGUAAAUGUUUUACAAGUGUACAACUUUAAUGUACUUUUUGCUCUUUCUUUUAGAUGGAGAUGCCAGUUUUGAGGAAUUACUUCAAUAUAUAAUAUUUUGGGAACUCUGGCUGUCUGGCAGCACUUGAAUGCGACAUGGACACUUUAAUUUGUAUGCUCUUCAGCAAAAAGGUCAACUAUAUGUGGAUUUGGUAUAAACAAAAAAUUGUAGAACAAACACUUCUUCCAGAUGCAAAUCAAAUCUAAAGGGCUGAUGUGGCAAUAUCAAUUCUGAAGAUGUCAGCUCUUAUAUCCUUAGAUAACAUGGUUUCUUAUAAUGAAGAAUCAUAGACAUUGAAACAUUUCUGAAAGAAGUAUUUGGUUACACAUGCAUAAGGAAAACAAGAACUUACUUUGCUCUUUGAUAAUCUGCUUUCCAAAAUAACAAUACUUUGGUGAAGGAUUUAGUGAUUGACCUUUAUAAAAUGGCUUUUUUGGAGACUUGAACUUGCAAGAAAGUGAAAAAUGCUUGUGACCAGUUUUAAAACAAGGAUCAACAUUAUCAAGGAGGAUAUUGUACUGUGUUUUAGAUAGAAAUAUACAUUAAACUGGUGAUAUAUUAUUGUAAAUGGUUUUGUUGAAUCACAGUUUAUAAUCAAGAUUACCAUAUAAAUAUGGACUUCAGGAAUUGUUAUAGUUCUCUGUUUCAAACACUCACUUUUUAUUUUAUUUUCAAAUAUUUUUCUAAUAUACAACUACGCAAAUUUUAACUAACUGUAAUCUAUAAACUGUAAAUAUGGAGAGGACUCGCUAUUUAACAACAACAGAUGGUUUGGCAUAUUAUUAAUUGAUCAUACAGUAAUUUAGCUUUCUUGAAAAAAUAUAAUAUAAAUAAGAGAAAAACUCAC